AUAUUCCAGAAAACUCCCAAAGAGAGAAACACUCCUCUUCCACGACUCCGCUCCUCCUCAAGCAUGAUUUUGCCGACACUGCUCCACCUUGUAACUCUACGAUUUUGGACGAAUUUAUGUUCCAUCUUUGUUUUGGUUUUUAAAAAUUUUUUUUUUCACUCUAAUAUAGUCAGAUUUAUGGUGAAAGGAGUUGAAUCUACUGUUCGAAAUUCAAAAUUGGACAAGGGAAAACAUUGGGCCAUGGAACAAUCUUCAAAUUAAUGCCAAGCCUUAUAAAUCGAAGGUAAACUUUGAGUCUUAGCAUAGCAGAUAGUAACUGUUGUGUUGAGUAACAAUUUCAUGUUAGGAAAAUGUAUAAAGCUCGUUCCACAUUGUCAAAAUAAUGCUUUCCCAACUAGGUUUCGUAGCUUUGCAUUCAAUCCAAAUUUUGUAACUUUGCAUUGUUAUGUUGAAGUUUCUGUUAUGCGUUGUGCCUUGAUUCUGGAUAAUUUAUGGAUCUUUACUGCAAAUUUCGAAGUAUUUUUUUUCCACUUUAAUAUGCAUAAAAAAGGCACUUAGUUCGCAUUUGGAAAACUUAAUUAGGCUAUAGAUUAAAUUGUAUAGAGGAUAAAAUUUGUCAAAUCCAGCUUUUGAUGUAAAUUGUAUAUGGAUUAUUAUCAGUCACUUGUACAGUUUCAGCCUAAAAAACAUAAAAUAAGAGGCGGGGUUCAAAAAAUUUCUAUUGUGGCUUUUUUUGAGUGAUUUUUGUAAAACAUGAUGAUCGUGUUUAUGGAUUCAACUCCUUAGCUAGUCACAUAUACAAGAUGCUAUGAAAAUUUAGCGGCCAAUUGUUCUGCAAAAUGAUCCAGUCACAUUCUUCUUACGCAAAGAAUAGCUGGGGAAAUAGAGGAAGAAGAACUACCGGACAGAAGCAGAAGAACAAAUCAGAGAAAGUGGAAGAAGAAGGAACCAAGUACCAACGGACUUAAUGGACUUUUGAAAGGAAACGGGGUUGUUUGGUAUUAAAUGAAACUGUGUCGUUUUAUUCCAAUAAUUGUUGUAUCAUAAAUUCCUUAUUUCAGCUGGAGUAAAUUCCAGUGAAGGUUUGUGUGAAGCUGUGUUUGCGAGUUGCAGUUCAGCUCGUGACAAAUGGUAUCAGAGUAGGCAUAUUAUACUGGGCAAACAAUAAUCAUGGAUACAAGGUCGAAUGCAGUUGAUGAACACUUGAAGAAAUUGGAUCUGGAGAUUUCUCAUCUGGGUAAUUCCUUUAAAGCUGUUAACAACAGGCUGAAGAACAAGUUGGCUUCCACUGAUCAAUCUCUCCAGGUUAGUGGGCAUAGACACGAAAAACUUGAAGCUACGCUGUUAGAUAUGAAUCAUAAAAAUGAAAAUUUAGUGGCCAUGUUGACCCAGUUAUCUUUAGAUAUCAAAAUGGGGCAGAAAAACAAAGGAGUGGAAGAAACUCUGGUCAAGGUGAAAUCUGAGGGUGUAAUAUAUAUCUUAGGAGCUAGUAACACUGAAAGUAGUAUUUAUACUAUAGGGGAUUUUAAGGGAAAUAAUAGGCUGCCUAAGUUUGAUUUUCCACACUUUGGGGGAGAAGAACCUAAGGAAUGGCUUAGAAAAGCUAGGGAGUAUUUCCAACUUCGUCAGAUCUCACGAGUUGAGAUUGGGUAUUGCUGAAAUGUAUUUGAAAGGUAAAGCAGAUUUGAAGAACCAACAGGGUUGCCAUCUCCUAGAUCUCAUGACUAUCAUAUUCUGUUAAAAGAGAUAGCAUAACCAUUCAAAAUUAGGACUUAUAAAUGCCUUUCUAUUCAGAAAAUAGAAAUAGGGAGGCUAGUGGUGGAGAUCGAAAAUACAAAUUAAGUCAACAGUUAAAGGAGAGCCUUUCACAGGCAAGUGCAAGGACGAAGCUUUAUGCUGAUAAAAAGAGACCAGAAAGGUCAUUUUUUGAAGGUGAUUGGGUAUUCCUUAAAACUCCAUCCAUACAGGCACCAGUCAGUGGAGCACAGGCAGAACUACAAGCUGGCGCAAGUUAUUUUGGUCUUCACCAGAUUAUCAAGGAAAUAGGGACAGUAGCAUAUCAGUUGGCACUACGUGAGGGUUCAAAAUUCCAUCCAAUUUUCUCUGUGUCGUUGUUGAAAAGGAAGUUAGAUGAUAAACAUAUGCCGGUACUAUAUGUGCCUAUUAAUAGUCCUUCCCAAUAGGUAGACCAUUAACCACACUCCAUCUUACAGUCAAGGAUGGUAGAGAGUCGGAUCCGCCCAACAAGGCGAUGGUUGAUUCAUUGGUCAGAUCUUCCUCCUGACAGUGCAACUUGGGAGAAUAUGGAAUGGGUUAAAGCUAAAUUUCCCAAUUGUAGAUCUUAGGGACAAGAUCAAAGUGAGAGGGAUGGUUGUUACGUGAAGAGUAGCUAGGGAAAUAGAGGAACAGGAACUACCAGACUGAAGCAGAAGAAGAAACCAGAGAAAGGGGAAAAAGAAGGAACCAAUGGACUUUUAAAUGGAGAUGGUGUCGUUUGGUCCUAAAUGGAACUGUGUUAUUUUAUUCCAAUAAUUUUGUUGUUUUUUAGAAAUCAUCUUUUACUUUUGGGGUUUGGAAAAUAUAUAUAUAGCCAUGUGCGAAGAGGGAGACUGAUUUUUCUGCCAAAUUGGUUGCUAAUUGAAGUGAUUCAAUUCAGUCCUCUCCUUUCUCAUUCUUAUUGUACAUCAUUUAAUCCGUCCCCAUCAUCUUUUACUUUGAAUUUAGUAUCAUAAAUUCCUUAAUUCAGCUGGAGUAAAUUCCAGUGUUGGUUUGUCUGAAGCUUUGUUUGCGAGUUGUAGUUCAGCUCGUGACAAUUCUAUCAUUCAAAGGCUUGAUUAAUGGUAUUUAACAACCUCCAUUAGCAAACAUUGAGGCAGCUAACAUGUGCUACAGCUUCCUGUCACAAACAUGCGUCCUUCGCACGCUAAAGCCUCCAUUAGCUGCUGUUGCCACAACUGUUGGGUACUAGAGCCUCUGGUCAUCAUCGUUGAGGUUGUCACAGCAUGUUUAAGGUCAUCAAAAGCUACAAUUGAGGCAAUCACUGGAUGAUCCAUCUAGUCCUGUGAAUAGGCUGAAGUGAUUCCAAUUCGAUCGCCUCUAUUCAGCACAAUUUUGUUAAUGGAGGGACAAUUUCCAAUUAGGCUACAAGUUAGUCUUUUCUUUAUUUGAACGACGAAAGUGCACACUUUGGCAACAACUCAGAUGCAAUAAGAUGGAUAGUAGACAGCAAGGAAACAUUGUAGUCACCAUUAAGAGCUAAUUUUACUUUUUGUUUGUGAAUUACAAAUCUGGUGGCUACGUGGCUACCAUGGUCUGAAUAUUAAUGAGGUUGAUCAAGUUCUCAUGAACUUAAUCAAAUUACUUGAUAGUCAUGAAGUCCAUAGGUAAUUUCUCUAGCCCACAGUUAUUUAGAUCUUCAAAUUGGUUUCUUAUGAGUUCUUUUGAUUUAUUUUGUCAGGAUCUGUUGUGAUGUAUGCUAGACGUGGUUCCAUUGCAAGCGCGUGAAGAUUACACCAGCUAGAGCCGAGCAUAUUAAGCAAUACAAGUGUCCUUCAUGCAGUAACAAGAGAGCCUGUGCUUGAUGUGAAAUAUUAUUAUCUGUACUCUUGAUGAACGUUCAAGUCUUUGUUGUUUAUGUCAUUUCUGUUGGAAAAUAAGGGGUUGGAGAAGAAACAACAACAAAAUUAUAGAAACAAAAUGAAUGGAAAUCACGAAAUACGUCAAGAACGAAUUUGAGGUUUGAACGCGGGAUCGUUAUCCUCAAAAUAUAUUUGCCUCCUCUCGGGAUUGAAUGAGAUGCUUAAG
rnacentral:lncRNA from 1 species